rnacentral:rRNA from 1 species
CGUACACUCCUACGGGAGGCAGCAGUAGGGAAUCUUCGGCAAUGGGGGCAACCCUGACCGAGCAACGCCGCGUGAGUGAAGAAGGUUUUCGGAUCGUAAAGCUCUGUUGUAAGUCAAGAACGAGUGUGAGAGUGGAAAGUUCACACUGUGACGGUAGCUUACCAGAAAGGGACGGCUAACUACGUGCCAGCAGCCGCGGUAAUACGUAGGUCCCGAGCGUUGUCCGGAUUUAUUGGGCGUAAAGCGAGCGCAGGCGGUUUGAUAAGUCUGAAGUUAAAGGCUGUGGCUCAACCAUAGUUCGCUUUGGAAACUGUCAAACUUGAGUGCAGAAGGGGAGAGUGGAAUUCCAUGUGUAGCGGUGAAAUGCGUAGAUAUAUGGAGGAACACCGGUGGCGAAAGCGGCUCUCUGGUCUGUAACUGACGCUGAGGCUCGAAAGCGUGGGGAGCGAACAGGAUUAGAAACCCUGGUAGUCCC